GUUUAGCUGACGAGUCCCAAAUAAGACAAAACGCGCAUUCUGGAU
rnacentral:hammerhead_ribozyme from 1 species